GUUUGCAUCGUAUGUUAUGCAAAAGGUGAACCUCACGCUAACCAACGCUGUCGCUACGACUUUGAGAGAAAUUUCGAGGUCUGCUCAUUGCAAGCUCAUCGUGAUCGAGACCAUGUAGUGGCGCCGCUUCACAUCGUUCAAUGGACUCUCCUACUCUCUUCUAGAUACAACCUUUGAAUGAAAAAAGGACAACGUAAAUAGUUCUGAAAUCUCCAUCUCUGAGAUUCAACUUUCACUCUCAAUCCAUGGUGUAUCGUGCAGACAGAUAAAUGGAAUCAAAUUGGAAGCAAGAACUCAUCGAAUCAGAGUUACGAACAGUGGAGUGUAUUUGAUGCACCGAAGAAUUUGAUGCGGUGAAUCAUUUUGAGGAAUAAUCGAAGAGUUAUGCAUAAUUUGAAGAAGUGUUGGUUGCUGAACGGAGAUGCCUCGGUUGUAGGAUUUUCUGUUGCUGAAUGGUUGUUGCAGGUGAGACUUAGUUGCAAAAUGCUGAAGAUGCAGAAUUGCAGAGAAUGUUGUGACUUGCAGAAUUGCAGAGAAUGCUCUCAAUCCCCCAUGAGGUGAAGGUUGUGGAAUGUUAUAGAGAGGAUGAAAACCUACAACUGAAUCGGGCAAGUCGGGCACUGUUAGGAAAGGUUUUUACUUUGUAAAAUUUCCAUAGGGUGAUGCAAAAUGGAAGUAACUUGGCUUUGAAGGAAAAUAAGAGCAUGAAGCAUAAUGCAUGAUCAUGAAGAUGAUAGAUGAAGAAGGACCAAGAUGAGAAAUGGUUAAUGAAAAGCAAGACUUUCUUGAAGUGGAAACCAACUUGGAUGGGAGAUUGAAUGAAAUGAUGAAGCAUGAGGAAUGAAGGUUUAGGAUUAGGUUUUUUUUGUAAUUGAAUUUAAACAUUGUAAUGUAAGCAUGUGUAGGCUAUGGUUUGGAAUUGAAUUGGAAUUGUAUGAAAUGGUUAUGUGUAGGUUUAUGAAGUUGUAUAGAGUGGUCAUGUAUUGGAAAUACUUGUAGUUUUGGAUUUGAAUAGACAUAUGAAUAUGGAUUGUAGUAAAAUGGAUUGAAAGUUUGUAAUAACAUAGAAAUGGUUUAUGGUUUAAA